CGGCCAACUGAACAUGUUCUAGCACCUCUGCAUACGAGAUGGGUCUUAGCAUCCCAACCCAAUCAUAGAUGUCGACACGAAGGCUUUUUAAAAACUUCUUAGCCUUACGACUUUCAGGGGUGACCAUUAGAGGGGCAAAUCUAGUUAGUUAGAUAAAACGGGCUGCAUAUUAGGAAAUCAUUAGAUUUCUUUGGUAGAGAUCCUGAAACUUCUCCCCUUUCUUUUCUUAGACAUAGGUAGGGAAAAAGUUGUCAAAUAAUGCAUUCAUGAAAACCUCCCAAGUGGUAGGGGUAGGUAGGACUUCCUUCUUAAGUCGCCACUAGUGUUCU
rnacentral:lncRNA from 1 species